AUUGGGAUUUAUUUUUUUGGUAGGGGAGGGGGAAGUUGUCAAACUCAUAAUAAUAGAUGUAUAUUUUUAUAAAGUAAUUUUUGCAAAUCAGAUCAUUAGUUUUAUGUGAUCCAGAAUCAUGUAUUUCCAGAUUCGGGCAGGCUUGGUCAAAAUCAAACCAUCUUUUUGCAGCCGUACCACUUUUAUAUCAGCUUGAAUUUUUCACGUUUGCUAGUCUCCAGGCCCCUCAUCAAUAUGUGAUAUAGUUCAUAAGUUGAAACCCUCUGGUUCGGUUUGAAUUGGAGAGGUCCCAUCAAUAUGUGAUAUAGAGGUCACAAGUACUACCCUGUGCCUUCUGGCAUUUGUUUCCACUACAUAGACAACCUCUCAACAGUUAUAAAACCUCGGUUUCUCAACAUUCAAA
rnacentral:lncRNA from 1 species